rnacentral:sRNA from 1 species
UUUUCCCCAACUGCAGUACCCUCUGAUCUCUGGCUUCUCUCCUGCUCAGGACCUCAUCUAUUCCAGCCCAGUAGACACAGCUCACAAGGUACUGAUUAGCCUGAGGACCUUCCUGAGGAGGAAUGAGGAUAUCCAAGUGGGCGGUCUUAUCCGAGGCCACUUCCUGCUGAUCCUGCAGCGUCUGCUAGUGGAGCAUGGGACAUCCCCAUCAGGAGCCUCGGGGAACCUACCAUUGCUGCUGAGCCUCCUCUCCCUGAUGCAGCUCAGGAAUGUGUCAGAGCAAGAACUGGACAGCGUGGCCAUGAAGCUCCUUCACCAAGUAAGCAAGCUGUGUGGGACGUGCAGCCCCACUGACGUGGACAUCCUGCAGCCCUCCUUCAACUUCCUGUAUUGGAGCCUUCAUCAGACCACACCCAGCAGUCAGAAAAGAGCUGCUGCAGUGCUCCUGAGCAGCACAGGCCUGAUGGAGCUUCUGGAGAAGAUGCUGGCACUCACCUUGGCAAAGGCAGAUUCUCCCAGGACUGCACUCCUCUGCUCUGCCUGGCUGCUCACUGCCUCCUUCUCUGCCCAG